rnacentral:rRNA from 1 species
UACAGAGGGUGCGAGCGUUGUCCGGAAUCACUGGGCGUAAAGGGCGCGUAGGCGGCUUGAUAAGGUUGCGGUGAAAGCCCGGGGCUCAACCCCGGGUCGGCCGUGGCAACUGUCGAGCUGGAGCACUGUAGAGGCAGGUGGAAUUCCGGGUGUAGCGGUGGAAUGCGUAGAGAUCGGAAGGAACACCAGUGGCGAAGGCGGCUACCUGGACAGAUACUGACACUGAGGCGCGAGAGCGUGGGGAGCAAACAGG